UACGUAGGGUCCGAGCGUUGUCCGGAAUUAUUGGGCGUAAAGGGCUCGUAGGCGGUCCGUCACGUCGGGAGUGAAAACUCAGGGCUCAACCCUGAGCGUGCUUCCGAUACGGGGCGGACUAGAGGUAUGCAGGGGGAGAACGGAAUUCCUGGUGUAGCGGUGGAAUGCGCAGAUAUCAGGAGGAACACCGGUGGCGAAGGCGGUUCUCUGGGCAUUACCUGACGCUGAGGAGCGAAAGCAUGGGGAGCGAACAGG
rnacentral:rRNA from 1 species